AGCGAACGCUGGCGGCAGGCCUAACACAUGCAAGUCGAACGAACCCUUCGGGGUUAGUGGCGGACGGGUGAGUAACACGUGGGAACGUGCCUUUAGGUUCGGAAUAACUCAGGGAAACUUGUGCUAAUACCGAAUGUGCCCUUCGGGGGAAAGAUUUAUCGGCUUUAGAGCGGCCCGCGUCUGAUGAGCGAGUUGGUGAGGUAAUGGCUCACAAAGGCUACGAUCAGUAGCUGGUCUGAGAGGACGGCCAGCCACAUUGGGACUGAGACACGGCCCAAACUCCUACGGGAGGCAGCAGUGGGGAAUCUUGCGCAAUGGGCGAAAGCCUGACGCAGCCAUGCCGCGUGGAUGAUGAAGGUCUUAGGAUUGUAAAAUCCUUUCACCGGUGAAGAUAAUGACUGUAGCCGGAGAAGAAGCCCCGGCUAACUUCGUGCCAGCAGCCGCCGCGGUAA
rnacentral:rRNA from 1 species